ACAGACUGUUGCAGGAGAGUGGAAGAGGGUCAUUUAAACCAGAGUCAGGGUGACUGGAAGUCUUCCGAGGGACUGACAAAGGCUGAAGAUAGAUAAGAAUGGCACAAUUAGGCGGGAAACUCCACACAUCUAUUUGGUUGGCCCCGUCUCCUUGGGGCUUAGCAGAAGACCUGAUUGGGCACAACAGGAAGUCAGAUUGUAGGAAGGGGCUGCUUGUGUAAGGGCCCUGCAGAGUAGCAAGCUCGCCCUUCACAGGACCACUGGAGACACAAUCCUUUAACCCUACGCAAAUACGUAGGGCAGCGGCAGACUCUUGGAAGGAAGAUCUUAAGGGCAGUUGGUGCCAUGAAUUAAAAGCUCCUAGGUGGCUGCCUCUAUGUUUAGCGUCUGCAUGACAUCAUCAGUUGGAACUAAUGAAAGAGGAAAACCAAGGAAGAAAAUGCCACGGUGAUCACCAAAGCUUCCUUCAUGAGUGGGAUCUGGGCUCCCACCGGGGCUCCCCAGGGAUGCCCACGGCUCUAUGGAGGGGGCAGCAAUCCUGAGGGACUUCCUCCUUGUCAAAAUAUGACAGAAGCCAUCCUGCAAAUGAACAUUGUCCUGAAAGCAUCGGGAGAAAUAACGUACAGGCUACAGGGAUCUCCCUAAUGUUGAUUCUGGUCAUUGUGAAGUGAAGUCAGUGGUGCUAGUCACGAAAUAUCACUCCAGGCUUGGUGGGUGAACCUUGCUUUGGUUCUGCAAUAUCUACAGCAUCAACUGUGUUUCCCAGGUCUAUAUUCUCUUCAAUCAGGGGCUGUUGGAGACAGAGCAUGGCGUGUGCUAUUUUUUGUUCGAUCAAGAUCAUGUCAAAGAAAACCCAGGCACUUCUGCUAAGACAUCUGGAAAGAAGUUGGCCCAGCAUGGUCAGGGCGGCGGCCCUGGUGUCAUCCACUCUAUACUAUGUCAGCAAGAGCACCCCCGCCACCCCAGCCUCUGGAAGUGAGUGGGAUGCUGAUAGCAGAAGGAAAAGAAUCGGGACAAAAGGCAUCGAGGAGAUCUAGAGUGCCAGGCCCACCUCAGGUAUUGCCUAUCUCUCCCUUCUCCAGAGACAGUCAGCAGGGUGGAACCAGAUUCCUGGUCAUGCAAGAACACCUUCAGGGAGGGCUGCUUCAAGGUAACACUCCAACACAGGCUGGGUCCCACAUCACUUCAUGGUGCAAAAAUCAUGGUGCACUAGUCAAGACCUGGAGUUCGAUAAAAUAGGAAUUAGGACAUAAAUAAACUAGUUUUUUUUUUUUUUUUUUUUUUGUCUUUCUGCCUUUUCUAGGGCAGCUCCCUCGGCAUAUGGAGGUUCCCAGGCUAGGGGUCUAAUCGGAGCUGUAGCCACCGGCCUACACCACAGCCACAGCAACAUGGGAUCUGAGCCUUGUCUGUGACCUACACCACAGCUCAUGGCAAUGCCAGAUCCUUAAGCCACUGAGCAAGGUCAGGAAUCGAAUCCACAACAUCCUGGUUCCUGGUUGGAUUCGCUAACCACUGCGCCACGACGGGAACUCCUAAACUAGUUGUUUUGAGUUGAGUGAGUUCAUCUGCCCAUUGACAGGUGGUGCUUUUCCAACUGAAGACAAAAGUUUGACUCAGAACUUGCAAGAAGCAGCCAUUCCCUCCUUGGGGGUAUUGCAGUGGAGGGGAGAAGAAAGUGCCUUCCAGCCUGACCUUGGGUUUGGAAGAACCGUGCUUUGAAUUACUGCCAAUGUGGCCAGGUUCCUUUCUUGGAUCUUUGAUUUAUUACCUCAAAAUAGUGAGAAUUAUUUCAUAGGGGUGUUUAGACGAUUAAGUAAGCUGGUACAAGUAAAGCAUUCGGUGUGUUGUUUGUCGGCGCUUACAAGAGGCUUGGUCACUAUGAAUUUAAAGAAAUAACAACAAAGACUACUGACCUAAAGAUAUUUCAGUUAAUGAAGUUGCUUUGCUUCUUUGAUUCUGACGAAAGGGAAUUUAAACUCUUACAUUUAAAAAGUCAUGAAUUAGCAUGUACAUUUUAAACUCGAUUUUAAAAUCCAGUGAGCUAUUAUUGUUAUCACCAUGCAUAAUAACUUCAUCGAUUGUCUUCUGCCUCAGGCUUCCCUGCGCAGCUGGGUAGGUGCUGUUUGUAAGUGAGUCAGUUUCACAGAUAGACUGUGACAUGUACAGGUGGCAUUUAAUAAGAGUAUAGCACGUAUCCUUUGUCUUCCCCCCUUGGUUACAUCAUUGGACUGUUUAGAGCAAAGAGAGCAAAAACUAUUAUCCUGAUUUACCAAUCAGGUCUUACCUGGAGAAGAGGCGACUCUGCUUUUUUACGCUCAUCGGCGUAGGUUUGGGAGGGGGGCACAUUGUAGGUGCUGAUAAACCACAUUUGCAGUUAUUUACCAUUUUGCAUCUCUCCCUCUGUGAAUGCUUCCCUUACGCCAGACCAGUGUAGCGCCCGCCACAGCGACGGCACUGAUGCCAGGCGCGUGUCUGCUUCUCCAGCAGCGUGGGAGACGCACUUCACCUGGGGGCUCCACCCUUCCCAGGUUACAGUUGCUGCGCAGAAGAACAGUUGCCUCUGCUGAUAGGGACUGUCUCAUUGCACCCCUUUUCCAGGCCAUCUGUCUGACCUGGACCCAUUCCAAACACUACGGCUUUGUUGGCAGAAUGGUCUUCCUGCUACAGAAGUUUUGUAAUCUGCUAAUUGACAGGGUAAGGAAAAUUUAUAUUUGGGUUACAGCUGAAAAGUUGGAUGUUUCUUUGAUGGGGCUUUAAAUACUGACAUGUGCUGCGCUGGUUUUUGAUUUUAGGCAUCCUCCUUUGUGCGCGAGCACACGCUCUUUUUCCCUGUGUUCUCUGCCUCAUUGAGGACACGGCAUCCUUUCGAGAAGAACAGCAAUACGAUCUACUGGGGAAUUAUCCUCUACUUAGUUUACUCAUUAAGCAAUGAUUUUAUUAUUAUUAUCUCUUUGUAGUAUGAGACAGAUGGCAAAGAAAGAGUUUGCUUUAUUGAACAAGAUGCAUGGCAAAUCUCCAUGAAUGGUUAAUAUCUUCAGUAGUCAUUCUGUCUAAUAAGCAUCUUGGCUUUUGCACAGGGCCUGGUUCUACACUCAGCCCUUAGUUUAGGUUAAAUGUUCUCAACCCUCUCUCUGUACACAUGGCUGGGGGCAGAAGAAUCUUAGAGAAGGAAAUAGCAUUAAAAUUGUGCUGUUCUAGGGAGUUCCCUUGUGGUGGAUCAGGUUAAGGAUCCAGUGUGGUCACUGCAGUGGCUCAGGUCGCUGCUGUGGCGUGGGUUUGAUCCCCGGCCCUGGCUGCCAGCAAGGCCAAAACAGAAAUCAUGCCAUUGAUAUGUAUGGUUGUCCUCAUCUUGUGCAGUAACACUCAGUGAUCAAGCCCCGGCCAGACCCAUGUCCCUAAAGCACGUGCUCGUGUUGGGGGCCGUGCACGAGUGUGGAGCAAUAGCCUGCCUCUGGAGCCAAGCAGCCCCCUCAACCUGCAUCAUUACAGCACCCGUCACAAAGAAAGAUGAGAAUGAAAGAAGAUUUCUUCCCUACCUUUGAAAACUUCAAAGAAAUUGUUCCCAAUCUGGUUCUGAUGAUCCAUGUCUCAGGCCAAGCGCACGCAAAGGUUGGAAAUCUGCACACUGAUCGGAAAUAGUUUUGGGAAAGUCGGAUUUAAUCCCACGAGCCCAAUGAUCACUACCAAGAACGAUCAGGGAAAACCAAAGUCCACAGCAAAUUUUAAUUUGCCAACUGCAUAAAAUGUUCAAAAGAGCAGAGGUCUCAUUUACAUUCCUCCCUCUUAUAUGGGAUUUUCUUCCAUAUUAGUAAUUAAAGGGUGCAGGCUAUAGAGCGCAACCAUAUCCCAUAAUAGCCAUCGGGGACACACUAACAACUUCCUUGAAGUAACGCACACUAGGGUGUUUAUGGUUCAGUGUCACAUAGGCUCUCUUUGAUCUAAAUUAGGAUUCAUUGGCAAACUCACAAUAGGCUCCACAUGUACCCCUCUCAACCUCUUUCUUUUAAUCAUGGAAAUUAGAGAUGGAAAAUACCCAUUAAGUCACUUAGUCCACUUCCCUGCCAGGGUAAAAUUGUUGCCUGUGAUACAAGGGGAGGGCUCGGUCCAGCUUACAUUUAAAUGUCUCAGGGGAUAGGCGGCCUCCAGAUUUUAUAAUUUUCCUCUUCCCCUUAAAAUUUGGGGUGUGGGGGGAAUGCAAAGCAGAGGAAGAGAUUUCUUCCCCGCCUUAGGGGUUGGAGGUAAUGGGUGGUGGGUUGUGAAUGUGCUCACGUGGUGUCAGCUUUCCCGAAACCACGCCCCUUGCGACAGGGGUUCAACCCCUGUCGUCCCCCAGCAGGUUUUCCUCUUCAGCUCAAUGGAGCUUUUCACGGACUUUGCCUGUCCCCUCAAGUGAGCGAGCACCCAGGUCUGAUGAGGGAGCACGAGGCCCAGCAAAGGAGAAGCUUCGUCUGCUUUAGCUCCCGGGUUGGUUGAUGACUUCUUAACUGCACAGGCCCUCCCAGCUUAGCGUGCGAUGCGCCCUAUGAGGUGUGAGCACAGGGGUGGCGGCACUGCCAUCUUAUUCCAGGCGUUUUUCUUGUUGGAACAUUUGGCUUCUGAAAGAGGAGAGAUGCCUGCCGUCGCACGGUGAACCCUCUCCCUGACUGAUGUUCAGCUGCAAAAGCAAGACUCGGCGUCUGCCCGCAUCUUCCGCAUCACCGGAUCGCCAGGAAAGUGGGGAAAGUAGCGACCCCCACCCCCACCGCGGGCCAUGUCCCUGUGGGACCCCCUCUACCGGAGACGGCCCGGCAGUGGCUGAGAUGAGACCUAAAAAGGGAAAUGGUGACCCAGGAUGAGAGUCACGUUUUGGUCUGUUUCAGGGGCUCUCUUUCUGAUGGAGCUGCCAGACUGACCCUAGGGAACCCGCCUCUUUUACAUGAAAGACUAAAGCCUAGUGGAUUAAAGGCAGAGUUUUUUUCAGGAUUUCUGUCAGCAAACCUAAUCCUGGUUAGGGAGCUAUUUCACAUCUCAUGAACGUCGGAAAUAGUUCGGUUUCAGAGUUCACAUUGUGGCACGGUGGAAACGAAUCUGACUAGGAACCACGAGGUUGCGGGUCAAUCCCUGGCCUCGCUCAGUGGGUUAAGGAUCCGUCGAUGACGUGAGCUGUGGUGUAGGUCACAGACACGGCUCGGAUCCUGCGUUGCUGUGGCUGUGGUGUAGGCUGGCGGCUACAGCUCCGAUUCGACCCCUAGGCUGGGAACCUCCACAUGCUCCGGUGGGGCCCUAGAAAAGACAAAAAGAAAAGGAUUCCAUUUCUGCUGGUAAUCAGUGCCAGGCCACACUUAUUCCUCUGAACAUGGCCUUGAACUGUUUGGCAACAUGGGUAUGUGGAAUAACCCCAAACAUACAAAUUCUCAAAUAUAUGAUCAGCUAAAAUAACAGUAAAGGCAUUGAGGAAAAGCGUUCUCAUUCAGUUUCUCUUAUGUAUUCUGUUCACAACGUGUAGGCGUGUUCAGACGCUCUCAGUCCACAGAGGAUAUAAUGAGAACACAGGCCAAAAUGAUGGUUGGUAUAAAUAAAAAUGGAGGGGGGAGUUCCCACUGUGGCUCAGAGGAAAUGAAUCCAACUAGGAACCAUGAGGUUGCAGGUUCAAUCCCUGGCCUCACUCAGCGGGUUAAGGAUCUGGCGUUGCCGUGAGCUGUGGUGUAGUUUGCAGAUGUGGCUCGGACCCUGAGUUGCUGUGGCUGUGGUGUAGGCUGGUGACUGUAGCUCCCAUUUGACCCCUGGCCUGGGAACCUCCAUGUGCUGUGGGUGC
rnacentral:lncRNA from 1 species